CAACGGUCUCACCUCUGUAAUUCAUUGUUUCUUAGUGCCAUUGCCCCUCCUGCCAGAGGGACAGAGAACCACUUUGUAACCUGAAACUCAGUGUGCAGCCUGGGCUGGCCUGGAACUCACUACUCUUCUGCCUCAUCCUCCCACAUGCUGGGAUAUGGACAUGAGCCACCAUGCCCAGCUCCACCCCUUUUCCUUCCCUUCAGACCCUCAGGUUACAAAUGGGGAUUUAUUAGAGUAGUGCGCACAAGCGUGAGAUGUUUGUCUGUCUCCUGGCUGUCUGGAAAGCUAGAGGAUCUGGUAGCUGUUCUGUUCAGGAGGCAUCAGAACAAGAGCAGUCACUGAUGCAGCCCCACCCAGAAGAUGAAGGCUGGAAGCCUCUAAGAGUCACUGCCACAGGACUGUGCUGAGAGACUGGAGGCUCGAGAUGGCAUCCAUGGGCAACCGCAGCACUGUAGAUGGGUACACUGUGGCUCAGAGAGGCUAAACAGCCCGUUGAUAGUUGAAGAACAACCCUGCAGUCCUCAGAGGAUUUGGCUCAGGUUCAGGUCUCCACAGGCUUCAUCCCCCACUCAGCGCCCUAUGGCCCCGGCCACCAGGCUCCUGGAGGGAAAGGACACAGAUGAGGAGUCAGAACAUCUCAGGCCACAUUUGGGGAGGAGACUCCGCAGAAGAAACCACACUCUGGAGGGUCAGGAAGAGCUGCUCACUCAUGCCAAGUAAGUUGGACUGGAGCCAAAGUAAGUGGGGAGCCAUUGAAAGUCAUUGUGUAAGAGAGGGCUAUGGCCUACUGGAAAACUCUUUGGCUGGGGUGUGGAGCUGGGCUGUGGGGUAGGGCCAUGAGAACAAGCCCCAUUCUCUAUUUAUCUCUUGUCUCCAAAUCUAGCUGAAAAGUUGAAAGCAGGAUUCCUUGGCACAUAGUAGGUGCUCAAUAAACAUCUUUUAGCUGGUUCUAUUUGCUUAAGUUAAUGUGAUGGUCACAAAUAUCCCAGGGAAAACAAAAAGGAAGAAGUACCCUUGGGCUGAGGACAUCUUAUUCACAUGCUUAGGACCAGGAAUGCUUUAUAUGUAGAAUAUUCUGCAAAUACAUGAUGAGGUAUCUUCAGGGAAAGUUCAAAUGGAAACAUGGAAUUGAUUUGUUUCAUGCACACCUGAAAUGCUUAGCCCGAGGUGGCUCUUAUAUAAUGUGUUUGAUAACUCCAUAAAGCAAAGUGCUGUUUAAUCUUCUGCUCGCACCAUGUAGUGUUCCCAGAGUUGCAGACUUAGAGCAUACCUGUGCUAGAGAAGGUGGGCUUGAGGCCUGAUCCUUCACCGGUCAGCAUCACCAGGCGUUGCUGGAGCAGCCACCUCUGCUGAAUAUGGGACCACCCUUUAGGCAAUGUGACAGGGAAGUAUGAGAAGCCAGCAGUAAGGCAGGAGGGUCACAGGACCAGUUGGGGUGGAGGGUGCAGUUUUCUGCAGUCUCGGAGGAGUGGGAGGCCUAACUGGAGCGGGUGGAAGGAAGUGGAACAUUCCCAUUUCUAUCCCUGAAAGGAAUAAGAAACCAGGCGGGAAGAUUCCCCAUCACCUGCCCUGUGGAGCUGGGGACGGACGCUGCAGUGUUCAGAGAGUGGGGCAGUGAGAAAGUCACCCGGAAAAACCCAGACCAAAUGGCUGGGGGAUGUCUGGCCAAAACAGAAAUGCUCCUCCUGAGACAGCAAUGCUGAUCCAAAGGAGCCACCAAAGUCUUCCCGGUCAUGUGGGAUAGGGGAUGAACCAAGUGUGGCUUGUGGGGGGAGGGGUGCUGUGCUGGUAAAUUUGUCAACUUAAUACAAACUAGUCUUAUCAGGGAAGAGGGACCUCGGGUGAGGGAUUGGUUCCUCCAGAUUGCCCUGUAGACAUGUCUGUGGGACACGUUCAUCAUUAAUGACGGAUGUGGGAGGGCCCAACCCACUGUGGAAAGCAAGGUGAGGUGUGUGCUGUAUAGAAGGUAUCUGAG